UCACCGCACCUGGGGCCUGAAUCAGGGAUCAGUAAAAAGUCUCAGUCAGUCUGCUCUCCCGUCAAAGAGUAACAGCGUGCCGCAGGGCAAUCGGAUUUACCGCAGACGUACCACAAGGGAGGUUCUUCAGACCCUCCAUGUCUUGACUCAAAGCUUCUCCUGACACUUGUGCUACACAUUUCAUUGAUCUGAAGAGGAAUAAACGACCAAGAGAACUGCAGGUCAGCACGUCGAUUUCAACUAUCACCUGUGAGCUUCAUCAAAAUAAGUGUGGCCAGCAACCCAAGAGAGGUGCUCCUGCCCCUCUUCUCUACACUGGUGAAGCCUCACCUGGAGUACUGCAUCCAAAUGUGGAGUCCACAGGAAAGGACAGACAUGGACCUGUAGGAAUGUGUGAGAUGAGCCACAAAAAUGAUCCAUUGAAUGGAACACCUCUCCUGCGAGAGCAGACUGCGAGAACAGAGGAUGUUUAGCCUGGAGAAGAGAAGGCUCCAAGGUGACCUGAUAGCAGCCCUUCAGAA